rnacentral:rRNA from 1 species
AUUGAACGCUGGCGGCAGGCCUAACACAUGCAAGUCGAACGGUAACAGAAAGCAGCUUGCUGCUUUGCUGACGAGUGGCGGACGGGUGAGUAAUGUCUGGGAAACUGCCUGAUGGAGGGGGAUAACUACUGGAAACGGUAGCUAAUACCGCAUAACGUCGCAAGACCAAAGAGGGGGACCUUCGGGCCUCUUGCCAUCGGAUGUGCCCAGAUGGGAUUAGCUAGUAGGUGGGGUAACGGCUCACCUAGGCGACGAUCCCUAGCUGGUAUGAGAGGAUGACCAGCAACACUGGAACUGAGACACGGUCCAGACUCCUACGGGAGGCAGCAGUGGGGAAUAUUGCACAAUGGGCGCAAGCCUGAUGCAGCCAUGCCGCGUGUAUGAAGAAGGCCUUCGGGUUGUAAAGUACUUUCAGCGGGGAGGAAGGGAGUAAAGUUAAUACCUUUGCUCAUUGACGUUACCCGCAGAAGAAGCACCGGCUAACUCCGUG